rnacentral:rRNA from 1 species
ACGGCAGCAUGACCUAGCUUGCUAGGUUGAUGGCGAGUGGCGAACGGGUGAGUAAUGCAUCGGAACGUGCCUUUUAGUGGGGGAUAACGUAGCGAAAGUUACGCUAAUACCGCAUAUUCUCUGAGGAGGAAAGCAGGGGACCUUCGGGCCUUGCGCUAGAAGAGCGGCCGAUGUCGGAUUAGCUAGUUGGUGAGGUAAAGGCUCACCAAGGCAACGAUCCGUAGCGGGUCUGAGAGGAUGAUCCGCCACACUGGGACUGAGACACGGCCCAGACUCCUACGGGAGGCAGCAGUGGGGAAUUUUGGACAAUGGGCGCAAGCCUGAUCCAGCCAUGCCGCGUGAGUGAAGAAGGCCUUCGGGUUGUAAAGCUCUUUCGGCUGGGAAGAAAUCGCACUCUCUAAUACAGGGUGUGGAUGACGGUACCAGCAUAAGAAGCACCGGCUAACUACGUGCCAGCAGCCGCGGUAAUACGUAGGGUGCGAGCGUUAUUCGGAAUUACUGGGCGUAAAGCGUGCGCAGGCGGUUGUGUAAGACAGACGUGAAAUCCCCGGGCUCAACCUGGGAACUGCGUUUGUGACUGCACGGCUAGAGUACGGCAGAGGGGGGUGGAAUUCCACGUGUAGCAGUGAAAUGCGUAGAGAUGUGGAGGAACACCGAUGGCGAAGGCAGCCCCCUG